UUUUCCCUGCCUGGUUUGCGAAGACCCUAUACUCUUUGAACCAAUGCGAUACGCAACGGUUGCGGAAAUUUGUGAUAUGGGCGUGCGCAUCACUCGUUUGAUGCGCUCAAAGUGUCACUAACUGCGACCAUCUUGAACCCAGGUUCAGGAUGCCGGUCUGGCGGCUAAGGCGGGGAUUUU
rnacentral:other from 1 species